ACAAACUUGGUCAUUUAGAGGAAGUAAAAGUCGUAACAAGGUUUCCGUAGGUGAACCUGCGGAAGGAUCAUUACAGUGUAAUGGGUCUCUGACCCACUACCCGCCCUCUGUCAUUUGCUGGACGGGAGCUUGCCUUCGGGCAGCCCCCCGACAUCACUUCCCAGGAGGUGUUACCCGAACUCGGACCUCUGGUCUCUGAUUGGGUGACCGCCUGGGGCCCCCUUUUAGGAAACUCUUGGCAUAAAAAAAGAAGUCGAUAUUUUUCUUCACAGAAAAAAUAAGCAAAACUUUCAACAACGGAUCUCUUGGCUCUGGCAUCGAUGAAGAACGCAGC
rnacentral:misc_RNA from 1 species